AUGUUGGGUCCUGGCGAGAAUAGUCGUUCUGUCUGGAGCCGCUUCCGGGUGGAGCUUAACACAUGAGUGAUAGCAGCUCCUGCGGGAGCCUUCUCCGCUGCCUUCGCGGCGGGGACAGGUUUUUGUGUAAUUGAGGCGUUGUGCUGUCACCGCAACAGGCGGACCGCGGUGUACCACAUGAAUGCUGUGCUCAUAGAGACCAGAAGAGUGUGCUGAUAUGGAAAUGCAGUUACUGAUGACUGUGGAUACUGAGAAUUGAACCACUUCCUCUUCCAAAAGCAGCCUCUUAACCUCUGAGCCAUCUCAGCAACCCUAAAAAUAUUUAUUUUUUAUGUGU